CUGAAGUCCGUUGACUCAGAGUGGACGUCGCCAUUUUACAAGCUGUCACGAGAAUUUUAAAUUCCAAUGAUAAUAACUGACAAUCAAUAACUCUGACCAAUCCCCGAGAUCUGUAAGACCUCGGGUUUAAUAAUAAUUAGUCAAAGACUCAGCUUAUGCAAAAAGAUACUACAGUUUAUUCAGAGAACGUUCUAAAGUCCAUUAUACAAAGACAUCCAUUUUAUUGCACAUACUUCCACACAAACAGUAGGUAUCCUACGCACAUACUUCCACACAAACAGUAGGUAUCCUACGCACAUACUUCCACACAAACAGUAGGUAUCCUACGCACAUACUUCCACACAAACAGUAGGUAUCCUACGCACAUACUUCCACACAAACAGUAGGUAUCCUACGCACAUACUUCCACACAAACAGUAGGUAUCCUACGCACAUACUUCCACACAAACAGUAGGUAUCCUACGCACAUACUUCCACACAAACAGUAGGUAUCCUACGCACAUACUUCCACACAAACAGUAGGUAUCCUACGCACAUACUUCCACACAAACAGCAGGUAUCCUACAUACUUCCACACAAACAGUAGGUAUCCUACGCACAUACUUCCACACAAACAGUAGGUAUCCUACGCACAUACUUCCACACAAACAGUAGGUAUCCCACGCACAUACUUCCACACAAACAGUAGGUAUCCUAC